AUUGACAUUGUCACACAGUCAAAUAUUGUUAAUUCAGCUCACAAGCGGUGAAGCAGCUUGAAAAGAGCAGUAGAGGAUAAACCUACAUUUCAACUGCUAGUCGACUGAGGACAUCGCGGAAUGACUUUCCGCCGCUAUUAGCAUUUACAAUUGUAUCGUUCGAGCCAUAUAUUGGACUAGAAACCGAAACGUACACUUAAAUAUAACCGCCAAUAUAGAAACAUUUAAAGAUACAUCAGUAAGAAACGAAACACUUGUAAUGAUUAUUCACUCACCGAUGAAGCAGCUGUCAAUAAUACUCCAAUGACGAUGAGACUUGUGCCCUUCAUAUUUAUGCUUGUAGUCGUUGCGACGAGCAUCGAGAGUCAAUCAACUCCCGCUGAUAUUUAACUUCCUAGUCAACAGUAUAGUAUUGACGUUUGUUUGAAUAGUAACGCAAUCUUUACUCUCAGCCAAAUUGUGUGGGAAUUCCAAUCAUGAACAGUUGAUAAAUUUGCUUGAAAAAUUCUUCUUAAUUCUUUUUCUUCUCUAGACCCUUCAGCUUCCCGUUUUUUUUCUAAUCUUUGUCUCACUGCUCAAUUGCCCACGCAAUUUGUUUUAGUGUCCAAGACGAUCAAGGAGGAUUACUACAAAGAUUCUUUGCAUUUCUAAAUUUUAUGGAAAUAAGGAUUUUUUAUUUGCAUUUAAAUUCUCAAGACUACUCG